AGGGCAUGACAACGCUGACCCUCCUGGUCCCGCAGCCUGGAACCGGCCCACAGCCCCGACCUCCUCCAGAUGUGGCCCCAGACCAGAGGCGGAGGCCUCCAGCCCCCACACUUGCCAGGCCUGUGCCCGGGGGACAGCCAUGUCCCAGGAAAAUGACCCAGGAUGUGGCAACCUCAGGGACUUUUCUGGAUGACUGAGGUCUCGCCCACCUCGGCACAACAGCCCUGGGAGGUGGAGGUGUCUGUCUCCACUGGGGGAACGGAGAAACUGAGGUCCAGAGGGGACAGCGCCCGCCCACUCCCAGUCCGGGCUGAGCGCGCAGUGGGCUCCGCUGCCCAGCGGGGUGGCCCCCCUCUGCCCCGACCCCGACCCUCUGACGUAAUCAGACGGGGGCGUGGCCUGGCCCGCGGAGUUCCGAGGCUCCCGGCGAAUCCAGGGGCCGGGAGUGGGCACCUGCCAGACGGGAAGGCCCCGCGCGGCCUCUGCCCUGCGCGUCCAGCAGGGGGCAGUGCUGCCUCGCACCGGGGCCACCUGGCGCGGACACGUCUGUUCUCUGAGCUCCUCCAAACGGUGGUCGGGGGGCUGGGCCGGCCCUGCUCCCGGCCCUGCAGUCCAUCGGUCUCAGAACUCCUCCCCGGGUGUGCGGCCCCUCCCAGCUCCUCUGGGGUCCCCCGCAUUCCCAGAUGGCUUCUGAGGCUGGGGGGCAGCUGGGUGAAAUGGCCAGGCCACUCCACCUCUCUGAGCCCUCGAGAUCGGCCCCCCACCCAGGGACGGGAGGGAUGGAAGUCCGCGCCCAGCCAGGCUGGCGGGCAGCAGCAGCCUGUGUUUCAGCUGAGGGUCAGCCCUCGGCACUGCAGAGGGGCCCCAAGCGCGGGGGCAGAGGAGACCGCGUGGGCAUCAGGGAGCAGAGGACGAGAACUACCGUGUGUCCCGUCUCCUGACCCUCCACACUCCGGCCCCUUCCUGCCUGAGGUCUCAGCCCCACUGGCCGCCUCUGCUCGGUUCUCAUCACUUGCUGCUGCCGCGCUCAGGCCCAGUGAUGACCCCCGCUUCUUCUGUCCUCUGCGUCCCCUGCUGGGUGUCAGGGCCUCUCUGGGGGCUCACCCCCUCUUCCUAGGACUCCCUCCUUUUCCCACACAGGCCCUUUCUCCAACCACACCGCUUGCCUGA
rnacentral:lncRNA from 1 species